rnacentral:lncRNA from 12 species
UGAAAGAAGGGAUAUUAUUGGCUUAAUUGGAUCCUUUCUGGACUAUGAUCAGCAAAACGUGAUGGCAACAAGGACUGGAUUCCCUUGUCAGCUCCACUGAGGUUCAGCACAGCUCUGUGACGUCACAUACCAGGGGGAUCAGAAACAGCAUUCAAGGGACCACAAGUGCAUGUAUGAAAAUGAGUGCAGAAAAUGAGAAAGAAGAUGUUGUGAAAUUCAAU